CUGGCAAAGAACGCGGAAGUAAUUGUCCUUCGAAUAAUCAUCGAGACAAGAUGAUUUCUCAGUGUGUCUUCUUUUUGCGGAAAUGCCUUUACAUCCACGGUUAGUGAAGAAAAGUUGUUGGAUGCUCUCAGAGAAGAAAUACAAAAAGCGAAAACGAGUGCACCAGAAAAGUGGUUUAAUGGUGGUGUCAAGAAAUACAAGAGCGAAAUCGAUCCUUUCCCGAAAGAUUGAUAUUCCAAUUAUCCAUACUACUUUCCUAAAAGGGAGCAAACCGCCCGAAAUGGUGUCAUGCCUAGGUAUGUGAGAGAAAAACAACAGGAAUUUGAUCCCACUCCCAAGAGAUGGAAAUACAUACGUCAUCGUAGUCUACCCUUGCGAAAAGAGGAUUUUAAAGACGAUGGAUAUAAAGAUUGGGAACCGAAACAACGACCAAAGCAGAAAAGACGACCAAAGCAGAAAAGACGACCAAGACAGAAACGACGAACAAAGCAGAAACAACGACCAAAGCAGAAACAACGACCAAAGUAGAAACGACGACCAAGACAGAGACGACGAACAAAGCAAAAACAACUAGCAAAGCAGAAAAAACGACCAAAGCAGAAAAGACGACCAAGACAGAGACGACGAACAAAGCAGAAACAACGACCAAAGCAGAAACAAAGACCAAAGCAGAAACAAAGACCAAAGCAGAAACAAUGAACAAAGCAGAAAUAACGACCAAAGCAGAAACGACGACCAAAGCAGAAACGACGACUCACAAAAUAAAAUAAAAGAUGAGCCGUUCUUGACACACUGAUUUUGACUGCGGAUAAAUCCGUUUACCUGAUCAGGAUAUAGGGCUCACGGCGGGUGUGACCGGUCAACAGGGGAUGCUUACUCCUCCUAGGCACCUGAUCCCACCUCUGGUGUGUCCAGGGGUCCGAGUUAUGAGAUUGAUCACUGUUCGUUAUCUUCACCUUGCAUACAAUAGAGCAGUUUCUAUGCAUUUCAAAAUACAUAUCUCCGAUGUCAAUGACAAUUACUUUGUAUCUUAAAUAGCAUUAUGUGAUUCUAUAAAUGAAUAUUGCUGUGUAGCACAGGUAUAGUAGAUUUAUUUUUUGACACAAAUAACCUACGAGUGCACUAGAAAAGUGUUUGAAUGGUGGUGACAAAAUUGAGGUGAUUCAAAACUACAUACAGUGUAGUCUCCCCUUGCAAGAAGACGAAUUUAAAGACGAUGGAGAUAGAGAUCGGGAACCGAAACAACCAAGGCAGAAAAGACAUCAAAGACACAAACAAUUAUAACAACAUUAAAGACAAUAUUGAAUAAAGCAGUUUCUACGCAUUUAUAAAUAUAUAUUUGAUAUUCUUGAUAAUCAUAUUGAUUGAAUAAAUAUUGCUGUGUAGUACAGGUAUACUAGAUUUAUUUAUUGACAAAUAAAAC